CUGUAAGUGGACGAUGCCGGCCUUGGAGGAAACAAAAACAACAAUCACGGUUGAAUGGGUGUACCUAAUAAAGUGGCUGAGUGAGUGUAUAUCCACUGUGCUUCCCCACCUUGCCUGUGGUGGUACUGAUGAGCUUGGCACCGCCGUCCACUGAACCCGUCAGCACCAAAGAGCCAUCCUUGUUGAACGCCAGGCAGGUCAGCGCUCCCUGAUGUCCAUCCUGACCUGUUAGCGGGGAAAAAAAACAUAUCUCUCACCAUCGGGUAGGACUCUGCCACUAGUGGCCUGAGAUGCAGGACUCUGGAAGGU